GAUGAAUCGGUGGAGGAUGAAUCCAAAUUUCACAUUCGAUUUCAUCAGCCAAAGAGAGUUUGUGCUUUUUGACAAGUUUUACUACAUCCCGGGGCAGGCCUUAAAAGAUCUUUUUUAAGGUGGUUUCCUCUCUACGUCGGGCAAUUUCACGAAUGGGUUGGACAAUGUCCAUGACCGACCGAUAUUUUAAGAGCCUGGCCGGGCAUAUUAUUUCCAGAAAGAAAGUUUAGGUUAAUAUCAUGCUGUGCAGGGUUGUUAUAGAUGAAGUAUAAUCGAUUGUGGAAAAAUAAUCGAUUAAACGAGAGCAGCUCUAUAUCAUAAUAAUUAAUUACCCAAGCAUCUACUUUUAUGUUGGGCUAUUCCAAUUUUGAACGCACCCCCCUGUCGAGGAACCUUGGAAUUCAAGGGGGGGAUGGAGCAUAAAUUUUGUUUGGAAUUUCCAUGGGGGUGGGGUGUCUUUCUAUGGGGAGGGUGCAAACAAAGGGGUUCCUCAACAGGGGGUGCAGAAAAAAUUGGAA